AACGAACGCUGGCGGCAUGCCUAACACAUGCAAGUCGAACGAGAUCUUCGGGUCGAGUGGCGCACGGGUGCGUAACGCGUGGGAAUCUGCCGUUUGGUUCGGAAUAAGAGUGGGACACGACUGCUAAUACCGGAUGACGACGAAAGUCCAAAGAUUUAUCGCCAUAGGAUGAGCCCGCGUAGGAUUAGCUAGUUGGUGUGGUAAAGGCGCACCAAGGCGACGAUCCUUAGCUGGGCUGAGAGGAUGAUCAGCCACACUGGGACUGAGACACGGCCCAGACUCCUACGGGAGGCAGCAGUGGGGAAUAUUGGACAAUGGGCGAAAGCCUGAUCCAGCAAUGCCGCGUGAGUGAUGAAGGCCCUAGGGUUGUAAAGCUCUUUUACCCGGGAUGAUAAUGACAGUACCGGGAGAAUAAGCUCCGGCUAACUCCGUGCCAGCAGCCGCCGUAA
rnacentral:rRNA from 1 species